AUGUUUCUGGGGUGUUUGUAUGUUGACUAUGUCCCUGAGCCGAUAAGUUUUAAUUCAGGAAAUUGAUUAAACUCUAUUGUGCAAGCCCGGCUCGUAUCGGGAAGCCUACGGUUUUUAUGAUAUUUCCGCCCUGAGCACCCGGUGUUCAUGGGCUGAAGUUAGCUGCGGCACCUUGGAAACACU
rnacentral:other from 1 species